rnacentral:rRNA from 1 species
CCCUGCCAUUUGUACACACCGCCCGUCGCUACUACCGAUUGAAUGGUUUAGUGAGGCCUCCGGACCGACGCAGUGAUAAGCUGCGUUGGGAAGUUGGACAAACUUGAUCAUUUAGAGGAAGUAAAAGUCGUAACAAGGUUUCCGUAGGUGAAC